UUUGCCCUCAGCUGGAGACACUUGGUCCCCUGCUGCCUUGUCGCCUGUGGCCCUGUGGCAGCCAGACACUCACCCCACCUAUCUGAAAAGAGCGGAGAUCCGAGAGAGACAAACUGAUCUCUGAGAGAAAUAAGAGAUGCCUGAAGGGAAGCAAGAAUGGAAAGCAUCCUUAAAAUGACUGAUUUACAAUUGGUCUCAUGAGACUUCUUCAGGCUCUCUUCUUGUUUGCUGCUGUACAUCUGGAGUGAGACUCAUGCAGAGACAAGAUGGCAGGUAAAAUGAGCUGAGCUAUUCCCCAACUGUCUCCACCUGACUACAGAGACAUGCCUUCAUCAUGCAGCUUGGACCAAGGCCCUUCCCCAGCUUGCU